UACGUAGGCAGCGAGCGUUGUUCGGAGUUACUGGGCGUAAAGGGUGUGUAGGCGGUUUUCUAAGUCUGGUGUGAAAUCUCCCGGCUCAACUGGGAGGGUGCGCCGAAAACUGGAAGGCUAGAGUGCGGGAUGGGUAAGUGGAAUUCCUGGUGUAGCGGUGAAAUGCGCAGAUAUCGGGAAGAACACCCGUGGCUAAGGCGGCUCUCUAGUACGGUACUGACGCUGAGACGCGAAAGCGUGGGGAGCGAACAGG
rnacentral:rRNA from 1 species